AGAGUUUGAUCCUGGCUCAGAGUGAACGCUGGCGGCAGGCCUAACACAUGCAAGUCGAUCGGCAGCACAGCAGUAGCAAUACUGUGGGUGGCGAGUGGCGGACGGGUGAGGAAUGCGUCGGAAUCUGCCUAUUUGUGGGGGAUAACGUAGGGAAACUUACGCUAAUACCGCAUACGACCUACGGGUGAAAGUGGGGGACCUUCGGGCCUCACGCAGAUAGAUGAGCCGACGCCGGAUUAGCUAGUUGGCGGGGUAAAGGCCCACCAAGGCGACGAUCCGUAGCUGGUCUGAGAGGAUGAUCAGCCACACUGGGACUGAGACACGGCCCAGACUCCUACGGGAGGCAGCAGUGGGGAAUAUUGGACAAUGGGCGCAAGCCUGAUCCAGCCAUGCCGCGUGUGUGAAGAAGGCCUUCGGGUUGUAAAGCACUUUUGUCCGGAAAGAAAUCCUUUCGAUUAAUACUCGGGAGGGAUGACGGUACCGG
rnacentral:rRNA from 1 species